GUUACUGUUAUAUAAGAGGAAGGCCAUCAGCAGAGGUAGAUGUUACUGUUAUAUAAGAGGAAGGCCGUCAGCAGAGGUAGAUGUUACUGUUAUAUAAGAGGAAGGCCAUCAGCAGAGGUAGAUGUUACUGUUAUAUAAGAGGAAGGCGGUCAGCAGAGGUAGAUGUUACUGUUAUAUAAGAGGAAGGCCAUCAGCAGAGGUAGAUGUUACUGUUAUAUAAGAGGAAGGCCGUCAGCAGAGGUAGAUGUUACUGUUAUAUAAGAGGAAGGCCAUCAGCAGAGGUAGAUGUUACUGUUAUAUAAGAGGAAGGCCAUCAGCAGAGGUAGAUGUUACUGUUAUAUAAGAGGAAGGCCGUCAGCAGAGGUAGAUGUUACUGUUAUAUAAGAGGAAGGCCGUCAGCAGAGGUAGAUGUUACUGUUAUAUAAGAGGAAGGCCGUCAGCAGAGGUAGAUGUUACUGUUAUAUAAGAGGAAGGCCGUCAGCAGAGGUAGAUGUUACUGUUAUAUAAGAGGAAGGCCGUCAGCAGAGGUAGAUGUUACUGUUAUAUAAGAGGAAGGCCGUCAGCAGAGGUAGAUGUUACUGUUAUAUAAGAGGAAGGCCAUCAGCAGAGGUAGAUGUUACUGUUAUAUAAGAGGAAGGCCGUCAGCAGAGGUAGAUGUUACUGUUAUAUAAGAGGAAGGCCAUCAGCAGAGGUAGAUGUUACUGUUAUAUAAGAGGAAGGCCAUCAGCAGAGGUAGAUGUUACUGUUAUAUAAGAGGAAGGCCAUCAGCAGAGGUAGAUGUUACUGUUAUAUAAGAGGAAGGCCAUCAGCAGAGGUAGAUGUUACUGUUAUAUAAGAGGAAGGCCGUCAGCAGAGGUAGAUGUUACUGUUAUAUAAGAGGAAGGCCAUCAGCAGAGGUAGAUGUUACUGUUAUAUAAGAGGAAGGCGGUCAGCAGAGGUAGAUGUUACUGUUAUAUAAGAGGAAGGCCAUCAGCAGAGGUAGAUGUUACUGUUAUAUAAGAGGAAGGCCGUCAGCAGAGGUAGAUGUUACUGUUAUAUAAGAGGAAGGCGGUCAGCAGAGGUAGAUGUUACAUAAGAGGAAGGCCAUCAGCAGAGGUAGAUGUUACUGUUAUAUAAGAGGAAGGCGGUCAGCAGAGGUAGAUGUUACUGUUAUAUAAGAGGAAGGCCAUCAGCAGAGGUAGAUGUUAUAUAAGAGGAAGGCCAUCAGCAGAGGUAGAUGUUACUGUUAUAUAAGAGGAAGGCCAUCAGCAGAGGUAGAUGUUACUGUUAUAUAAGAGGAAGGCCAUCAGCAGAGGUAGAUGUUACUGUUAUAUAAGAGGAAGGCCAUCAGCAGAGGUAGAUGUUAUAUAAGAGGAAGGCCGUCAGCAGAGGUAGAUGUUACUGUUAUACAAGAGGAAGGCCAUCAGCAGAGGUAGAUGUUACUAUUAUAUAAGAGGAAGGCCAUCAGCAGAGGUAGAUGUUACUGUUAUAUAAGAGGAAGGCCAUCAGCAGAGGUAGAUGUUACUGUUAUAUAAGAGGAAGGCCAUCAGCAGAGGUAGAUGUUACUGUUAUAUAAGAGGAAGGCCAUCAGCAGAGGUAGAUGUUACUGUUAUAUAAGAGGAAGGCCGUCAGCAGAGGUAGAUGUUACUGUUAUAUAAGAGGAAGGCGGUCAGCAGAGGUAGAUGUUACUGUUAUAUAAGAGGAAGGCCGUCAGCAGAGGUAGAUGUUACUGUUACAUAAGAGGGAGGCCGUCAGCAGAGGUAGAUGUUACAUAAGAGGGAGGCCGGCCGUCAGCAGAGGUAGAUGUUACAUAAGAGGGAGGCCGGCCGUCAGCAGAGGUAGAUGUUACAUAAGAGGGAGGCCGGCCGUCAGCAGAGGUAGAUGUUACAUAAGAGGAAGGCCGUCAGCAGAGGUAGAUGUUACAUAAGAGGGAGGCCGGCCGUCAGCAGAGGUAGAUGUUACAUAAGAGGGAGGCCGGCCGUCAGCAGAGGUAGAUGUUACAUAAGAGGGAGGUCGGCCGUCAGCAGAGGUAGAUGUUACAUAAGAGGGAGGCCGGCCGUCAGCAGAGGUAGAUGUUACAUAAGAGGGAGGCCGGCCGUCAGCAGAGGUAGAUGUUACAGAGGUAGAUGUUAUAUAAGAGGAAGGCCGUCAGCAGAGGCUCCAGGACAGGCUCCUGUAGUGACCUCCAGGACAGGCUCCUGUAGGGACCUCCAGGACAGGCUCCUGUAGGGACCUCCAGGACAGGCUCCUGUAGGGACCUCCAGGACCGGCUCCUGUAGGGACCUCCAGGACCGGCUCCUGUAGGGACCUCCAGGACAGGCUCCUGUAGGGACCUCCAGGACAGGCUCCUGUAGGGACCUCCAGGACAGGCUCCUGUAGGGACCUCCAGGACAGGCUCCUGUAGGGACCUCCAGGACAGGCUCCUGUAGGGACCUCCAGGACAGGCUCCUGUAGGGACCUCCAGGACAGGCUCCUGUAGGGACCUCCAGGACCGGCUCCUGUAGGGACCUCCAGGACCGGCUCCUGUAGGGACCUCCAGGACCGGCUCCUGUAGGGACCUCCAGGACCGGCUCCUGUAGGGACCUCCAGGACCGGCUCCUGUAGGGACCUCCAGGACCGGCUCCUGUAGGGACCUCC